rnacentral:rRNA from 1 species
GACGAACGCUGGCGGCGUGCUUAACACAUGCAAGUCGAACGGAAAGGCCCUGCUUUUGUGGCGUGCUUGAGUGGCGAACGGGUGACUCACACGUGAGUAACCUGCCAUUGCCUUUGGGCUACCUUAAGGUAACUGGGAUUCCUACUGGAUAGGCUUUCCUGCUGCAUGGUGGGGGUAGGCAAGUUUCGGCGGUUGGGGAUGGACUCACGGUUUAUCUGCUUGUUGGUGGGGUGUGGGCUUACCAAGGCUUUGGCGGGUAGCCGGCUGGGGGGGGGGACCGGCCACAUGGGGACGGAGAUACGGCCCAGACUCCUACGGGAGGCAGCGGGGGGAAAUAUGGAACAAGGGGCGGAAGCCGGAGGCAGCAACGCCGGGUGCGGGUGGACGGCCUUCGGGUGGUAAACCGCUUCCGCCGGUGACGAAGCGUUAGUGACGGUAAUGGGAAAAGAAGCACCGGCUAACUACGUG